GUUCUCUUGGCCACAGAGACUCGAAACUCUGAAGCAUUUCUCAGUUCACCUGUUCAGGACUGAAGACUUUUUGAAAUUAUCUAUCAGAGACUCAAACUCUGAAGGAUUUCUCACAUCUCCUUGUCAGGACUCAAGAUUGUUCAUUCAGAUGCUGAAGACCAGCACUGAGGGGUCCUCCUCGGUCUCCUCUGGGGAGUCAGAGGAGGACGACCCUGGAUCUGACACACAAACCACAACCUGUGUGAAUUGGAAGCAGGACUUCCACUGGCUCAGGAAAAGAGUACUUGUGUGUCUGGGGAGGAGAGUGAUGGUCAGCAGCCCACCAGUGACCCCAACCAAGAAAAGUCUUCCCACCUCCAAGGAAACCCAACCUGAAUAAACCCUCAGUGAUUAGCACAACUCAGUGCACUAAGCACACUAAGCAGUGUGAUGGCCUCACUUCUAUAGUUCUACAGUUUUAUUGUUUUUAAUAAAAUAAAGAUUCUUGUUCUCCGUAUCUGCUUCCUCCAGCAUAUCUUCUCGAUGCAGGCUGAAAGGAGCCAUGCAGAGGACUGAAAUGUAUUCUCUGCAACUUGCAAG
rnacentral:lncRNA from 1 species